rnacentral:rRNA from 1 species
ACGAACGCUGGCGGCAUGCCUAACACAUGCAAGUCGAACGAGACCUUCGGGUCUAGUGGCGCACGGGUGCGUAACGCGUGGGAACCCGCCUUGAGGUUCGGAAUAACUCCCCGAAAGGGGUGCUAAUACCGGAUAAUGUCUUCGGACCAAAGAUUUAUCGCCUUUAGAUGGGCCCGCGUUGGAUUAGCUAGUUGGUGGGGUAAAGGCCUACCAAGGCGACGAUCCAUAGCUGGUCUGAGAGGAUGAUCAGCCACACUGGGACUGAGACACGGCCCAGACUCCUACGGGAGGCAGCAGUGGGGAAUAUUGGACAAUGGGCGAAAGCCUGAUCCAGCAAUGCCGCGUGAGUGAUGAAGGCCUUAGGGUUGUAAAGCUCUUUUACCAGGGAUGAUAAUGACAGUACCUGGAGAAUAAGCUCCGGCUAACUCCGU